ensembl:snRNA Rnu6-672 RNA, U6 small nuclear 672
GUGCUCACUUCUGCAGCACAUAUACUAAGAUUGGAAUGAUACAGAGAAGAUUAACAUGGCCCCUGAACAAGCAUGACACUCAAAUUUGUGAAGCAUUCCAUGUGUUU